UACGUAGGUGGCGAGCGUUGUCCGGAUUUAUUGGGUUUAAAGGGUGCGUAGGCGGCCUAUUAAGUCAGUGCUGAAAUAUCCCGGCUUAACCGGGAGGGUGGCAUUGAUACUGAUGGGCUAGAGUACAGAUGAGGUAGGCGGAAUUGACGGUGUAGCGGUGAAAUGCCUAGAUAUCGUCAAGAACACCUAUAGCGAAGGCAGCUUACUAGGCUGUAACUGACGCUGAGGCACGAAAGUGUGGGGAGCGAACAGG
rnacentral:rRNA from 1 species